AUGUCAGGAACUUCGAGCACUUUUGCUGAGCUUCGCGAUGUAAACUUGAAGUAUGCUUUUAUUAGCUUCAAAGAAAUUGUACUUGCAACAAACAAAUUCUCUAACUCCAACAUGCUUGGACAUGGAGGUUUUGGCAACGUCUACAAGGGGACAUUAGAAAAUGGUACAGAAAUUGCCGUGAAAAGGCUAAGUAAGGGUUCUGGCCAGGGAACACUGGAAUUCAGAAAUGAAGUAAUACUCAUUGCGAAGUUGCAGCACAAAAACUUGGUUAGGCUUCUCGGUUUCUGCAUCCAUGGAGAUGAGAAACUAUUGAUAUAUGAAUACUUGCCUAAAAAAAGUCUGGACGCCAUGCUUUUCAAUGCCACAAGAAAAUCAAUGCUUGAUUGGCCAAUAAGAUUCGAGAUAAUCAAAUGGGUAGCUAGAGGACUUCUUUAUCUUCAUCAAGAUUCAAGGUUGAAGAUAAUUCACAGGGAUCUCAAAGCAAGCAACAUAUUAUUAGAUGCCGAAAUGAGCCCUAAGAUAUCUGAUUUUGGUAUGGCGAGGAUAUUUGGCGGCAAUCAGCAGCAAGAAAAUACCAACCGUGUUGUUGGCACAUAG
rnacentral:rRNA from 1 species